UACGGAAGGCAGCAGUGGGGAAUAUUGCACAAUGGGCGAAAGCCUGAUGCAGCUAUGCCGCGUGUAUGAAGAAGGCCUUAGGGUUGUAAAGUACUUUCAUCGGGGAGGAAAAAACAAAACUAAUAAUUUUAUUUCUUGACGUUACCCGAAAAAGAAGCACCGGCUAACUCCGUGCCAGCAGCCGCGGUAAUACGGAGGGUGCUAGUGUUAAUCAGAAUUACUGGGCGUAAAGAGCACGUAGGUGGUUUUUUUAAAGUCAGAUGUGAAAUCCCUGGGCUUAACCUAGGAACUGCAUUUUGAAACUGAAAUACUAGAGUAUCGUAGAGGGAGGUAGAAUUCUAGGUGUAGCGGUGAAAUGCGUAGAUAUCUGGAGGAAUACCUGUGGCGAAAGCGGCCUCCUAAACGAAUACUGACACUGAGGUGCGAAAGCGUGGGGAGCAAACAGGAUUAGAUACC
rnacentral:rRNA from 1 species